rnacentral:rRNA from 1 species
AUUGAACGCUGGCGGCAGGCCUAACACAUGCAAGUCGAGCGGCAGCGGAAAGUAGCUUGCUACUUUGCCGGCGAGCGGCGGACGGGUGAGUAAUGUCUGGGGAUCUGCCUGAUGGAGGGGGAUAACUACUGGAAACGGUAGCUAAUACCGCAUAACGUCGCAAGACCAAAGUGGGGGACCUUCGAGCCUCACGCCAUCGGAUGAACCCAGAUGGGAUUAGCUAGUAGGUGGGGUAAUGGCUCACCUAGGCGACGAUCCCUAGCUGGUCUGCGAGGAUGACCAGCCACACUGGGACUGGGCCACGGCCCAGACUCCUACGGGAGGCAGCAGUGGGGAAUAUUGCACAAUGGGCGCAAGCCUGAUGCAGCCAUGCCGCGUGUGUGAAGAAGGCCUUCGGGUUGUAAAGCACUUUCAGCGAGGAGGAAGGGUGGUGUGUUAAUAGCACACGACAUUGACGUUACUCGCAGAAGAAGCACCGGCUACUCCGUGCCAGCCGCCGCCGUAA